rnacentral:lncRNA from 1 species
UUUUUUAGGUAUCGAUAAAAGACCUUUUAGCACCAGGUGGUACUAUCGCUCUGGACAACGCAUUACACUAUGGAAAACCAUAUUUAAAAGACUGUCCUGACGAUGAACCAAUCAAAAGGUUUAACGAUAUGCUAAUGACCAGGAAUGAUGUUUAUCAGGUAUGUUUUCAUUAGUUAAUUGGGAAACGAGCAAAAGUUGCCAUUAAUAUUUGAAUAAAUUAUCAUGUACCAAUAAUGCAUUUACCUGUAUAUAGCUAUGUAUGCAGAAAAUGGAUGCUUUAAGUUAAAUGAAGCCCCAGUCACAGUGUCACGUUUUACUACGUUUUAAAAUGCUAUGUUUCAACCACUUUUUGAAUAAAAAUGUCCCGUUAUUUUAAAAGCUAGGUUUUACUAGGUUUGUGCUACGUCCUUUUCAUGUUUUGCUACGUAUUAGAACGUGUAGAUCCACGUUUCCACCACGCAUUGAUACGUUUCGACAACUAAUUAAAAUGUAGCACGUUUGUUACGUUCCGCUAAGCUUCGAUACGUAUUUACUAGGUUUCUACUUCGUUUUAAUUUACGCUACAUUUGUUGUUGAAUUUUCAAAACAUACGGGACAGGUCCCGUUUUGAACAAAGGAUCACUACGUUUCAAUACGCUUUUUAACGUAUAUUCCCGUUUCGCUACGCUUUCAAAACAUAGUAAAACGUAGCUCUUGAACCGUGACAGUGUGACUGGGGCUUUAGAGAAAUGUUAUAAUAACAAUCUAUAAGCUAUCUGUGACUAUUAAAUGAUCUUCAAAUUAGAAGCAACGGUAGUUUAUCGGUGUUAUAAUCUCCUUAACACUAAACAAACAACAACACCGACGGAAAUGCAAGAACUCCAUAAAAAAAAAUAUCAAGGAGAGUCAACAGGGUAAAUGUCUCCUGGUGAGCAUGCAUUUACACGGAAUUAAAGUUAAUAGGUGUUAACACUUGUUUCGAAAAUUUGACCUAUUUAGAGUGCAUUUCUUUCUCAAACAAACGAUGCAAACGGCUAAGCACGCACAUGUUUUGAUCAUUUCUUUCAAACAUUUUAUAUAAACUUUGACAAACUAUGCACACGUUAGAAAUGCGUCUGCAGUUUGUCGUUUGUUAGUAUAAACGCUACAUUUGUUUCUAACUUCAACCUGAUUAAACGAAGUAUUUGUUUCUGUGUUUGUUAAAAGUCUGUUUACCAACAACAUGUGAAUGCAUUAUUGAAAGUUCAAACAGGGUCAGUAAAGACUUGUUAAACGAUGUAUUUGUUUCUACUUUUGUAGCGUUUGGAAAACAACAACAAACGCGACAGAGCAUACACAAAAUUUUGGUUAGAAAGAAAUGCGGCCAUAGUCAAAUGCAUAUUUCUUUUGUUUAUGUUAACAAACAGUAACAAUGACAAGUGCUUACUGUGACUAAGAAAGUCAUAUACAACAUUUUACAGGAACGUGUUAUAUAUAUAUUGUUUAAAUGUAAUCAGGAAUUGUUAGAGUAAAUGUUUUUUAAAUGAAAAUUGGUUUGUUAUAUCAAAGAGUUGGGGUUUUUUUUUUUUUAGAUAAACUGGGUGCAUUCUGAAUAAAUUCGUAUGUCGUUGAUAAUCUUUAAUUUUACUUUUAGUCUGCACUGCAUAGAAAUUCAAAUUUAACCACGUAUGAUAAAAACGUAGACUAAGUGUUACAGUAGAUGGACUUAAAUAAUUCUAACUAAAAAAAAAACAAAUAUGUUAUAGGUGUUAAUGCCAGUGAGAGAUGGAAUAAUGCUUGUAAGGAGAAAGGAAGAUAUGAACGGAUGAGGAUUCUAAACGUCAGAUGUGAAGGAAUUGAUUAAGACCAUAUAGUGUCAUGAUAAUUUAUACUCGAAUAACCAUUUUUAAUUUUGAUAUCACAUAUAUUUGUUCUAGUUUUAAUUGAUAAUCACGAACAUAAAUUUAGCUGUAUCUUGAGGAGUAAUUUAUUUUUAUUCUACAACAUUUG